rnacentral:rRNA from 1 species
GUACGGGAGGCAGCAGUGGGGAAUUUUGCGCAAUGGGCGAAAGCCUGACGCAGCAACGCCGCGUGAGUGAUGAAGGUCUUCGGAUCGUAAAGCUCUUUCGGCCGGGACGAAAACGGGUUGGCUAAUAUCCAGCUCCUUGACGGUACCGGAAGAAGAAGCACCGGCUAACUCUGUGCCAGCAGCCGCGGUAAUACAGAGGGUGCGAGCGUUGUUCGGAAUUAUUGGGCGUAAAGCGCGUGUAGGCGGUGGUGCAUGUCGGGUGUGAAAGCCCUCGGCUUAACCGGGGAAGUGCGCCCGAAACUGCAUCGCUGGAGUGCCGGAGAGGGUAGCGGAAUUCCGGGUGUAGAGGUGAAAUUCGUAGAUAUCCGGAGGAACACCAGUGGCGAAGGCGGCUACCUGGACGGACACUGACGCUGAGACGCGAAAGCGUGGGUAGCAAACAGGAUUAGAUACCCCGGU